UGUUUGUUUUGGUGAGAAGAACGUCUGAGCGAGUUUGAAGUGCUAUUUACAGAAACUGAAUUCAGCUGGUGCUGCUCAGAACUGCCUUGCAGUCUGCAGGGCAUUACACCAGGAUGCUGGACAGCAAAUGACGGAAGGGCUUGGAAGGGAGGAGAAAAUAGAUGAUCUUGUCCGCAUAAUAAUACAGGGAAGAUGUAUAAAGGAAAGAAUCUUUGCAAGAUCAAAUUAGAAGUAUUAUUUGCUGAAAGGCAAUAUUCUCCACUCUAGGCUUGUGAGAGCCGAGCUCCUUGUCUCCCAGGGAGCUUUGGUUUGACUUUCAUCUUGAUAUUGAAUUUAAGCCUCAUAUUUUAUGAUAAAUGUAUGUAGCCCUCAGCCUGCCUGAUAAUAACAACUGCACCUACCAUGGACGUUCUAUUCAGAAGAAGGACUGGGAGUGGUCUCGUCUGAUUACUGGAAUCUGUUGCUAAUUAACUAAAAUCUCCCUCUUGUUUGAGCAGUCCUUCGUGGGAUUCUUCCUAAAGCACAUCUGCUUGCUUUGCUGUCUUGCCUAAGUAAAGAACACCAUUGUGAACAGAAUUGAAUUCCUGG
rnacentral:lncRNA from 1 species